GAUGAAGCGACUAAGGGCACUUGGCGGAUGUCUUGGCGUUAAGAGGCGAUGAAGGACGUAGGAACCUGCGAUAAGCGAUGGGGAGCCGGUAACCGGGCUUUGAUCCAUCGAUUUCCGAAUGGGGCAACCCACCCGCAAGGGUAUCUCAUCCUGAAUGUAUAGGGAUGAGAAGCGAACGUGGAGAAGUGAAACAUCUCAGUAUCCACAGGAAAAGAAAGCAACCGCGAUUCCGUAAGUAGCGGCGAGCGAAAACGGACAAACCGACAGACCCGCGAAUCGGCUGGAAAGCCGGGCCAUAGAAGGUGAUAGACCUGUAGCGGCGAGUCGGGUAGCCCACGAGUAGCAUGAGGCCCGUGAAACCUCGUGUGAACAUGGGGGGUCCACCCUCCAAGGCUAAAUACUCCUUAACGACCAAUAGUGAACCAGUAAGGCGACUGAAUGAUGAAAACCUCGCUUGUGAAGCGAGUGAAAGAGCAGCUGAAACCAAGUGCUUACUCAGCGGUCGGAGCCCGCUCCAUUGGGAGUUGGGUGACGGCGUGCCUUUUGCAUAAUGACCCGGCGAGUUGCUCUGUACGGCGAGGGUAAGGGCCACCGGCCCGCACCCGGAGCGAAAGCGAGUCCGAAAUGGGCGCCAAGUCGUACGGAGCAGACGCGAAACCUUGUGAUCUACCCAUGGUCAGGUUGAAGGGCGGGUAACACCGCCUGGAGGACCGAAGCCGUUAUCGUUGAAAAGAUAUGGCAUGAACUGUGGGGAGGACUUAAAGUGUAAUCAAACUGGGAGAUAGCUCGUUCUCUCCGAAAUAUUUUUAGGAAUAGCCUCUUGCGGCAGCACAUGGGGGUAGAGCUACUGGAUGGCUUGGAGGGUCUACCCGACUACUCGGGCCAACCAAACUCCGAAUACCAUGUGUCAAGGCAAGGGAGUCAGACGGCGAGUGACAAUAUCCGUCGUCAAAAGGAGAACAGUCCAGACCGUCGGCUAAGGUCCCCGAACACUGCUAAGUUUGAAGAAGGAAGUCGGAUUGCGAUGACAGCCAGGAUGUUGGCUUAGAAGCAGCCACCAUUUAAAGAGUGCGUAAUAGCUCACUGGUCGAGGAGUCCGGCGCCGAGAAUGAUCGGGAAUAAGCAGUGUACCGAAGCCGCGGGCCCGUAAGGGCGGUAGGAGAGCGUUCUUGUCAGCAGCGAAGGUGUUCCGGAAGGAGCGCUGGAGCGUCAAGAAGUGAAUAUGCCGGGUUGAGUAACGAUAAAACGGGUGAAAAUCCCGUUCGCCGUAAGCCCAAGGUUUCCUGGGGAAGGUAAAUCCGCCCAGGGUUAGCCGGAUCCUAAGGCGAGGCCGAAAGGCGUAGUCGAUGGACAUGUGGUCAAUAUUCCACAGCCCUCGUGUAGAUCAAUCCAUGUUGCGAAUUCCAAAGCCACGCGGAAGCGCUAGCCGUCUGAGGCCCUUGAGGCCGGUGCGUGGGGGAGGGGUUCCGAGAAAAGGCAUGGUGGCGAAGCGAGGUCCGUACCAAAACCGACACAGGUGGGCGAGGCGAAUAGCCUCAGGCGCUCGAGAGAACGGUCGUGAAGGAACUAGGCAACUUAACCCCGUACGUUCGCAAUAAGGGGGCCCUACUCUUCGGAGAGGGCGCAGAGAAAAGGCUCUGACGACUGUUUAUCAAAAACACAGCACAGUGCGAACACGCAAGUGGAUGUAUACUGUGUGACGCUUGCCCGGUACUGGAAUGUCACGGAAGGAGGUCAGCUUCGGCGAAGCUUCCAACCCAAGCACCAGUAAACGGCGGCCGUAACUAUGACGGUCCUAAGGUAGCGAAGUUCCUUGUCGGGUAAGUUCCGACGCGCAUGAAUAGCGUAACGAUUGGAGCACUGUCUCCACGACCGACUCGGUGAAAUAGUAGUGGCAGUGAAGAUGCUGCCUACCCGCGGCAAGACGGAAAGACCCCGUGCACCUUUACUGCAGGCUUCCGCUGGCCAUGAGCAUAUGUUGCGUAGGAUAGGUGGGAGGCUUUGAAGCCCCGGUUCCGGCCGGGGAUGAGCCGUCGUUGAAAUACCACCCUUCAUACGCCCGUGGCCUAACCUCGAUUCCCGUGAAUCCGGGCGAGGGACAAUGGGUGCUAGGCAGUUUGACUGGGGCGGUCUCCUCCUAAAGUGUAACGGAGGAGCGCAAAGGUCGGCUCAGCACGGAUGGAAACCGUGCUUUGAGUGCAAGAGCAUAAGCCGGCUUUACUGUGAGACCGACGGGUCGAACAGUCUCGAAAGAGGGCUCUAGUGAUCCUGCGAUUCUGAGUGGAAGGGUCGUAGCUCAUCGGACAAAAGGUACGCCGGGGAUAACAGGCUGAUCGCGCCCGAGCGUCCAUAGCGGCGGCGCGGUUUGGCACCUCGAUGUCGGCCCAUCACAUCCUGGGACUGAAGGUGGCCCCAAGGGUUCGGCUGUUCGCCGAUUAAAGUGGUACGCGAGCUGGGUUCAGACCGGCGUGAGCCAGGUCGGUCCCUAUCUGUCGUGGGCGUUGCAGGCUUGAAAGGACUUCUCCCUAGUACGAGAGGAUUGGGAGGGACGCACCCCUGGUGAUUCGGUUGCAUCGCUCGAUGCAUCGCCGAGUAGCUACGUGCGGCAGGGAUAACCGCUGAAAGCAUCUAAGCGGGAAGCUCCCCUUGAGAUGAGGCCUGCUUGUAGCAAUACGUGAGACCCCUGGAAGACGACCAGGUUGAUCGGACGCGCGUGUAAGGACAGAAAUGUCUUCAGCGGAGCGUUACGAACGGUCAAAAGCUUCGUCGC
rnacentral:rRNA from 1 species